UGGCAAUGGGCAGACACAGAGCAGAAAGUGGCGGACUUGGGCGGCCACAGAGCAUUUAUGACUCAAGAUGGAACUGAAAUGCCAUCCUGUUAUCAAGAGGGAGCAUAAGAACAGCUAAAGGAGAGGUGCAAGAUUGAAAUAUCAUGGAAUGGACUAUGGUUUAUCCUCUCUUCUGGUCAUAAAACAUCAUCAGGUUGUAAUUGUUCAGAUCAGAAAUUCCCAAGCUUUUAAUAAAGCCCUCAGGGAGCCUCAUUCAGGGGCAACUGCCCUGUCACUGGGAAUAAGUAGAGUGUGUGGGAAAUAUGUUGUCCUUGGUAAAACCUCCCCUUAGGAAAGAAGGCAAGAGAAUUGAGUAAGAUAAUGAUGGGCCAAAAGGAGAAAAUAGAGAAAGAGGCUGCAUGCUACAGAGAAUAAGAGCAAAGAUUCGAAAGCCUUGCACAGUUGGGCUUGAAACCAUCUGUGUAAAGGGAAGUAAUAAUGCUGACCUCACUG
rnacentral:antisense_RNA from 1 species